AGUCCCCCUGAGGUUGCCAUGGGCACCAGCAGUUCUCUCUUGUGAGAUCAUAAAGCUGCCCCUUAGAAAAGCGCCCCACGCGGCAGUGGGGACAGUGCGAAGCAGUGCUUUCAGCAGCUAGCAACGCAUAGCGAAGAGGUGCUGGGAUCUCGUGAGGAGAGAGGGCUUUUCCCUGUGCCCGGACAGUGUGCUCAGUCUGCAGAGAUGCCAGCCAGACAGCUUAACACCUGCCAGAAGGACAGAGGGGGCCUGAGGCUCCUUUUCCUGCUGCUUCCCAUCCUGUUCACUCUUGGCUACUGGUGCGGUGCGACGAUGUGGCUCAAGGAUGUGUUGUGGGUAAGUGCCUCUUGCUGUGGGGAAGUCAGCAUCUGCAAAGGCCAUGGCUCUGCCCUCCUGCCUUCCCUGAGAACAUGGGGCGCCUGGCCAGAAAUACCCAUCACCACUGGGGCGGUGUUGGGGGGAGGCACCUGUGCUCAUCCUCCAGUCUCCUCAGUGGCUUGAUGGAGUUCAGAGUGGGGCUCCUCCUCAGUGACCUCCACAGGGUGGCAGGCUGAAGAGGGGAGCACUUUGCC